rnacentral:rRNA from 1 species
UCCUACGGGUGGCUGCAGUAGGGAAUAUUGGACAAUGGGCGAAAGCCUGAUCCAGCAAUGCCGCGUGAGUGAUGAAGGCCUUAGGGUUGUAAAGCUCUUUUACCCGGGAUGAUAAUGACAGUACCGGGAGAAUAAGCUCCGGCUAACUCCGUGCCAGCAGCCGCGGUAAUACGGAGGGAGCUAGCGUUGUUCGGAAUUACUGGGCGUAAAGCGCACGUAGGCGGCGAUCUAAGUCAGAGGUGAAAGCCCGGGGCUCAACCCCGGAACUGCCUUUGAGACUGGAUUGCUAGAAUCCGGGAGAGGUGAGUGGAAUUCCGAGUGUAGAGGUGAAAUUCGUAGAUAUUCGGAAGAACACCAGUGGCGAAGGCGGCUCACUGGACCGGCAUUGACGCUGAGGUGCGAAAGCGUGGGGAGCAAACAGGAUUAGAUACCCUAGUAGUCCC